ACGAUGAAGAGUUUGAUCCUGGCUCAGGAUGAACGCUAGCGGCAGGCUUAACACAUGCAAGUCGAGGGGUAGAAGGAGCUUGCUCCUUUGAGACCGGCGCACGGGUGCGUAACGCGUAUGCAAUCUGCCUUGUACAGGGGGAUAGCCCAGAGAAAUUUGGAUUAAUACCCCAUAGUAUUAUUAAAUGGCAUCAUUUAAUUAUUAAAGUUCCAACGGUACAAGAUGAGCAUGCGUCCCAUUAGCUAGUUGGUGUGGUAACGGCACACCAAGGCAACGAUGGGUAGGGGUCCUGAGAGGGAGAUCCCCCACACUGGUACUGAGACACGGACCAGACUCCUACGGGAGGCAGCAGUGAGGAAUAUUGGUCAAUGGACGCAAGUCUGAACCAGCCAUGCCGCGUGCAGGAUGACGGUCCUAUGGAUUGUAAACUGCUUUUGUACAGGAAGAAACACUCCCUUGCGAGGGAACUUGACGGUACUGUAAGAAUAAGGAUCGGCUAACUCCGUGCCAGCAGCCGCGGUAAUACGGAGGAUCCAAGCGUUAUCCGGAAUCAUUGGGUUUAAAGGGUCCGUAGGCGGUUUUAUAAGUCAGUGGUGAAAUCUGGUCGCUCAACGAUCAAACGGCCAUUGAUACUGUAAGACUUGAAUUACUUGGAAGUAACUAGGAAUAUGUAGUGUAGCGGUGAAAUGCUUAGAGAUUACAUGGAAUACCAAUUGCGAAGGCAGGUUACUACGAGUACAUUGACGCUGAUGGACGAAAGCGUGGGGAGCGAACAGGAUUAGAUACCCUGGUAGUCCACGCCGUAAACGAUGGAUACUAGCUGUUUGGAGCAAUCUGAGUGGCUAAGCGAAAGUGAUAAGUAUCCCACCUGGGGAGUACGCUCGCAAGAGUGAAACUCAAAGGAAUUGACGGGGGCCCGCACAAGCGGAGGAGCAUGUGGUUUAAUUCGAUGAUACGCGAGGAACCUUACCAAGGCUUAAAUGGGAAACGACAGAUUUGGAAACAGAUCUUUCUUCGGACGUUUUUCAAGGUGCUGCAUGGUUGUCGUCAGCUCGUGCCGUGAGGUGUCAGGUUAAGUCCUAUAACGAGCGCAACCCCUGUUGCUAGUUGCCAGCGAGUCAAGUCGGGAACUCUAGCAAGACUGCCGGUGCAAACCGUGAGGAAGGUGGGGAUGACGUCAAAUCAUCACGGCCCUUACGCCUUGGGCUACACACGUGCUACAAUGGACGGUACAGAGAGCAGCCACUACGCAAGUAGGCGCGAAUCUACAAAACCGUUCUCAGUUCGGAUCGGGUCUGCAACUCGACUCCGUGAAGCUGGAUUCGCUAGUAAUCGCAGAUCAGCCAUGCUGCGGUGAAUACGUUCCCGGGCCUUGUACACACCGCCCGUCAAGCCAUGGAAGCUGGGGGUACCUGAAGUCGGUGACCGCAAGGAGCUGCCUAGGGUAAAACUGGUAACUAGGGCUAAGUCGUAACAAGGUAGCCGUACCGGAAGGUGCGGCUGGAACACCUCCUUU
rnacentral:rRNA from 1 species